ensembl:lncRNA
CCGGCGUCUGGAGGUCCUGCAGCAGGAGGAGAUAAUGAGGGGGCCUCAUCGCCCAGAAAACUCAUAGUGUUUCACUGCGAGUUUUCAUCAGAGAGAGGACCACGGCUUUGUCAGUAUCUGAGGGAGUUGGAUCGUACAGUGAAUGUUCAGACGUAUCCUCACCUCCUCUACCCCGAGCUCUACCUACUGCAGGGGGGAUACAAGCACUUCUACUUCUGCUGUCCGGAGCUGUGUGAGCCACAUGGUUAUGUCCCCAUGCGCCACAGCGACUUCAGAGAACAGCUUCGGCGUUUCAGCAGGAAGAGGCGCCAACAUCGUCGCAGACGUCCAAUCAGAUCGCAGCAGAGGACAUGACACUUUUAACACAGACUGAGAGCUGUCUAUAAAGAACUGGACAGAACCCAUAAGUGAACGCUGGAAAUGAUUGGGAAGGCAGUUAGAGCGAGGAGCUAUAUUGAUGAUAAAGUAUAAAUAUCAUGAUUUAUACAGUGAUACACGUUCCUAAGACAUCACAGGUACAGUUUGUGUUUUUAUAACAUCGACGAACUCCACUGGUGCUCACAGAAACAAUUAGCUGAUUACAUCUUAUUUAUACAAUGCCCCUUGUGUUUCCGUGUUAAAUCAUUGAUUUUUAUUUUACCAUCCUUAAAGGAAAGUAUUACUGGCGUAGUAUUUUUCCACAGAUCAUUUAGCAAAUCUACAUUUAGCAACACUUUGUUCAUCCUGAAAUGUCUUCAUUGUGUGCUAUUAAAAGUAUUGUGUUAUUAUAUUUUCACCAUAUCACCUCCCUUACGCAUUCUAUUAACACUCACUUUGUUUAAUAAAUGAUCCUAUGUACUCAUUUAAUUAUCUUUUACAUUAUACACGCUUACUGAACAAACUGUUAAAGGAGCCGUCCGUAAUGUGUAGCGCCCUCUGCUGUGUGAGAGAUGAAGUGCUACCGCGACGGAAACGCCAACAAUCUCGUAUGCCAAACCCGUAAAAUUGCCUUUAUA